rnacentral:snRNA from 1 species
AGAUUCCCAUUUAACAAUACAACCCCCACUAUCCAUGUGCGUCCCUCCCGAAGCUGCGCGCUCGGUCGAAGACCGAAUAGAGACGGACCGGUCUUCGGUCGAGGGUAUACGAGUAGCUGCGCUCCCCUGCUAGAACCUCCAAACAAGCUCACAAGCGAGCUUUUCAAGAAAGAAAUUUCAAGAAGCCAGGCAGUGGCACAGUCAGUGGAGGACACAUUAGUAUGCACU